rnacentral:tRNA from 1 species
GGUGUAGCUCCAAUUGGCAGAGCAGCGGAUUCCAAAUCCGCGUGUUGGGAGUUCGAAUCUCUCCACC